rnacentral:rRNA from 1 species
UACGUAGGGUGCAAGCGUUAAUCGGAAUUACUGGGCGUAAAGCGUGCGCAGGCGGUUAUGUAAGACAGGGGUGAAAUCCCCGGGCUUAACCUGGGAACUGCAUUUGUGACUGCAUAGCUGGAGUACGGUAGAGGGGGAUGGAAUUCCGCGUGUAGCAGUGAAAUGCGUAGAUAUGCGGAGGAACACCGAUGGCGAAGGCAAUCCCCUGGACCUGUACUGACGCUCAUGCACGAAAGCGUGGGGAGCAAACAGG